UAUGUAAGGCCUAUAAUCUGUCUGGUAUC
rnacentral:piRNA from 1 species